rnacentral:rRNA from 1 species
UACGAAGGGGGCUAGCGUUGUUCGGAAUCACUGGGCGUAACGGGCGCGUAGGCGGCUUGGUAAGUCGGGGGUGAAAGCCUGUGGCUCAACCACAGAAUUGCCUUCGAUACUGUCGAGCUUGAGACCGGAAGAGGUAAGUGGAACUGCGAGUGUAGAGGUGAAAUUCGUAGAUAUUCGCAAGAACACCAGUGGCGAAGGCGGCUUACUGGUCCGGUUCUGACGCUGAGGCGCGAAAGCGUGGGGAGCAAACAGG